UACGGAACCUGCAGGAAUCAUCCAUGUGGACAAAUGAAAAAUGCCUUUUGUCUACGAAUUGCAGUGAUCCUACAUAAACAUGGAGGCUUCUGACUGGCUUAGCACAACUGGCUAAGUCUGAGGGUUACCCUCCAUACAGC
rnacentral:snoRNA from 1 species